AUACGGAGGGUGCGAGCGUUAAUCGGAAUUACUGGGCGUAAAGGGUGCGUAGGCGGCUUGAUAAGUCGGAUGUGAAAGCCCCGGGCUUAACCUGGGAAUUGCAUUCGAUGCUGUCAGGCUAGAGUAUGUCAGAGGUUGGCGGAAUUCCUGGUGUAGCGGUGAAAUGCGUAGAUAUCAGGAGGAACACCAGUGGCGAAGGCGGCUAACUGGGACAAUACUGACGCUGAGGCACGAAAGCGUGGGGAGCAAACAGGAUUAGAAACCCUUGUAGUCC
rnacentral:rRNA from 1 species